rnacentral:tRNA from 1 species
CUGUGCGUAGCUCAGCUUGAUAGAGUAGGUUCCUUGGAUGAAUCGGGUCAGUGGUUUGAAUCCACUCGCACAGA